GAACGGAAUGACAUUAGACUGAGACACGGAAGAGCCGCAGGAUCUAUCGCUGGGGAAGAGCAUUCCAGACAGGGAGGAACUCGUGCCGAAUGAUCCCGCUGUGGACAGGUUGAGAGCAGAAUUUUAAUAGGCAAAAGAAAGAGAAGAGCUCUCUGCUGCAGACAGGAGUCCUGGAGAAAUGGGUUGCCCUCUUUUUUCUUUUUCUUUUUUUGAGACAGUCUCUCACUGUCACCCAGGCUGGAAUUCAGUGGCGCAUUCGUACCUCGCUGCAGCCUCAACCUCCUAGGCUCAAUCGAUCCUCCCACCUCAGCCUCCCGAGUAGCUGGGACUAUAGAUAUUUAACCAUUUUUCUAUUGAGAUUUGGUCUUCUCCACCCCCCACCACAGAUUUUUGUAAUUAGAGGGCACUUUUCCAAACAAAUGAUUCUUAAGGUACUGCUGUCUCUGAAUAUUAUUUUUAUAGAACAAGCAUAAGUAUAAUUGGAUCAAUCAUCUAACCUUUCAGAUCCUCAACUUAGUCUUCCAUUAAUGAGAGGAUUAAAUCCAUUAGUUAAAUGUUCUCUAAGAAUCAGUGUGUCUCCAACUUCAGUGUACAAACAGCAGCUCACCCAGGGAUCGCAGUGGGACGCAGACGCUGAUUCCGCAGUUGUGGACUUGGUGGAGGUGGGCGCUGUCUCAGUCCAUCUGGGCCGCUAUACAGAGUGCCACAGACAGAGUGGCUUAGGGACAACAGACGCUCAUUUCUCACUCUCUGGAGACUGGAAGCCCAAGAUCAAGGUGGCAGAAAAUGCCGUGUCUGAAGAGGAACUGUUUCCUUGUUCACAGCCUCUUCUCACUGUGUCCUUGCAGAAGGGCUGAGGGAGCUCUCCAGGGGCCUCCUUCAUAAGGGCACUCAUGCCAUCGUGGGACUCCACUCUCACGACCUCAUCACCACCCAAAGACCAUCACUUUGGGGGUUAGGAUUUAACAUGUGCACUUUGUGGGGACACACACAUUCAGUCCACAGCAGCUCCAAUAUGUUGCAUUCCUAAUUAGCUCACAGGCAAUGCUGAUGAUACUGGUCCAGGGACCACACUUCGAGUAGAAACAAACCAGAUAGCCACAAAGAGGAAUUAAUAGAUGUAGCAUUAAGGAAGAAAGAUUCCUUCCAGUGCCAAGGAAACUCAUCACAGUACCUCCAAUACCGUGUCAUCCUGGAGGAACCACAAGACCCUGGAUAGUUGGCCCAGGACAGAAUACUGCUCGGGGUUUGGAGGGUGGCAGUUAAAAAGCCAAGAUCUGUUUACCUGUUAAAAUAUAUAUUAUUUUCUUUACUAAAAAUAUAUAUUAUAUAUAUAAUUUCUUCUCUAUUAUGUAGGAUCCUGUGCCUGGAAUGUAUAAUCUCUGUGCUGCAGAAAGCCUAGAGGUCAGAUAGGUGAGGGAGGCCACAGGCUUCAAAGUGAUUCUUCCCCUCCGAAUCUUAAUAACGGAGUGACAGAAGGAAAGUUACUAAUGAGUCCUUGCAUGUGAGAUGAAGUUAUGGACCUGUCUGCUUGAUCAAGAAUUAAUGGAUUGCAUUUAACAGAAGGUCCUUUCUCUCCCCUCCACUUACAGCUGGCAGAGCCUUUAUUAUUAUCAUCGUCCGUGGACCAGUGCAAGUGAGAUGAAUGUGCAAGGCUGUAAUGAGAGUGAACUCCUGGGUUAGCACACGCUUCACUGAAGCAAGGUCACAGGCUUGCUCUGUAAAGUCAAGACCACUUUUCCUGUAUGGCAGUAAACCAUCUCUAGACAUGGGCGACCUGAGAGAACAGAAUUGGAGCAAUGCAGCAGAUGCACACAACCAGCAAACGUAGAGCUGGAAUCCGAAGUCGAUGCCUGUGAACGUCCCAGCUCAGAGAGAGGCGGUGAGCAGGAGAGGACUGGGUGAAAAUGGUUCGCACACACACCUUUGUCUUCAUCAUUUAGUCCUCCAGGGUGUCACAUGGACGACGCCACUUGACCUCCACAGCAAUUCUGUGGCGUUUGUGCACCAGAAACUUUAUCCCUGUUUUGCCAGCGAGGAAACUUAGGUUUGGAACGGGUAGAUCACCACACAAAGCCUUACUAUAAAGAGCGCCAGGCCUCAAACUUUUGCUGGCAUUGUCCUUCGCAGUUUACUUUAGGGCCUGUCAUUUACUGGGGUGAAACACAAAAGUUCCUUGUCCCCGAAAGACUGCAAUUAAAGUGCCAUUAGCACAGUAAUGUACCAACCAGUCGUUCCUUGGGCCGCAAGGGGGCAUGUCUACUGCUACUCAGUCUCAGUGGGUAAGCUGGAGAGUCCUCCCACAAUGAGCAGAUUCCGAGGCGGGUGUGUACAUGGAAGGACUCACAGGGGUUGGGGAGGCAGCAGUGGCGUUCUGUCUGAGCCUGUUUGUGUUGCUAUAAAGGAAUACUCAAGGCUGGGUAACUUAUGAAGAAAAGAGGUUUAUUUGGCUCAAGGUUCUGCAGGCUGUACAAGAAACAUGGCGCCAGCAUCUGCUUCUGGUGAGGCCCUCAGGGAGCUUCCACUCAUGGCAGAAGGGGAAGGGGAGCUGGCAUCAGAUGGCAAGAGAGGAAGGAAGAGAGGAAUGCGGGAGGUGCCAGGCUCGUUUCAACAUCAGCUCUGGCAAAAACUAACAGAGCAAGAACUCACUCCUUCCCGAGGGGACAAGAGGAUGGCACCAAGAGGCACAUGACCCCAAGACUCCCAGUAGGCUCCACCACCAACACCAGGAAUCAGAUUUCAACAUAAGAUUUGGAGGGACCAGGUAUCCAAUCUAUCCAUCCACUCCAAGCAUCCAUUUGAUACCCAGAAUGCAUUAUUUCAGCACCCGUAUCCAUUCAACAAAACUAUUUUAAAUUAUAAUCAUGUAAUAGGAAUAAUCAUCAUUUUCCUAAUUAUUCUUCGGCUUCAAAACCAAAAAUUGGCAGGUCAUGGUGGCUCACACCUGCACUCCCAGCACUUUGGGAGGCCUCAGGUAGAUCACCUAAGGUCAGGAGUUAGAGACCAGCCUGGCCAACAUGGCGAAACCCCAUCUCUACUAAAAAUACAAAAAUUAGCUGGGCGUGGUGGCGUGUGCUUGUAAUCCCAGCUACUGGGGAGGCUGAGGCAGGAGAAUCACUUGAACACGGGAGGUGGAGGUUGCAGUGAGCCGAGAUCGCGCCACUGCACGCCAGCCUGGGUGACGAGAGUGAAACUCCAUCUCAAAAAAAAAAACCCAACAAUUACACUUUUAAAAAACAAUAAAUUUCUUUCCUUUUUUUUUUUUUUUUUUUUUUCUGAGACAAGAUCUCACUCUGUCACCCAGGCUGGAGUACAGUAGUGCAGUCACGGCUCACUGCAGCCUUGGCCUCCCAGGCUUAAGCAAUCCUCCCACCUCAGCCUCCCAAGAAGUUGGGACCACAGGCACGCUUGGCUAAUUUUUUAAUUUUUUUGUAGAGACAGGAUCUCACUAUGUUGCCCAGGCUGGUCUCAAACUCCUGGCCUCGAGUAAUCCUCCUCCGUUGACCUCCCAAAGCAUGAGCCAACGUACCUGGCCAAAAAAAAUAAAUUUCAAUUGUAUUUUAUUUAUUUAUUUAUUUAAUAUUUUUUUGAGACAGAGUCUUAUUCUGUCGCCCAGGCUGGAGUGCAGUGGCCCAAUCUCGGCUCCCCGGGUUCUAGCGAUUCUUCUGCCUCAGCCUCCUGAGUAGCUGGGACUACACGCCCGCGCCACCAUGCCCAGCUAAUUUUUGUAUU